AUUGCUUUACACUGUUGUGGCUCCAUUUCCUCCUUGCUGUGCUCUGCAUCUGCUCUUAGGAAGAUGGAAACAAAUAUUUAUUAACCUCCUACUAAGUUCCAAACACUAGGCUGAGAGUUACCCCUAGGAUGUCCCAAUCUUUGAAGGCUCUCCCUUCUAACUGUCUGCCCAUGGUGCCCCUGACUUCCAGAGGGGCAUCUCUCUCUUUCUACUCUCUCAGCAUGUCUUUAAACAUGUUUAUAGUGUUUAAUCAGGUCUGUCUUUAUCAGAGUUACUUACAGGAAGUGUUGCUUUGAAUGAGUCUUUGUAUCAAGGGAGGCUUUUUAUCCUACGUAGCUCAGGGCUAGCAGACCACUUUUGUGAAUCAUUCUGAGAGUGCUGAAUGCCUCAGGAAUGCAUACAGGGGCCAGGAAUGGAAAUCCAAAUGAGCAAGUGGGCUGAGUGAGGACUGUGGCAACUUGAGUGGGCCCACAAACCAUGUCUAUUUUCUAGAUUAGGCCCAAGAUCCCCAAAUUUACUUUCUCUGAUUUCAAGGAAACAUGAGUAAAGCAGCUCUAGGCUGGUGGGACGAUCUGGCUGUGCCAUCUGCCAACCCACUGAAAGCCAGGGUGGGUUUGGCUGACCCGGCUGCCAGGGCAGACCUCUCCUCCCGUCUCUGCUUGCCGUUCCAUCUACAUCUCCCCUAAUCUACUCUCCUGAAGAGGACGACCCACCCACAGCAUCCCAAAGGGACUUGAUGCUAUUUCUUGGACAAACAGAAGCCAUAUGUUUACUACACAAAUAAAUAAUGUGAGGCUUUCUCUUGAUUUCUCCUGCUGUUGUGUCUACCUCUUUUAAGUUAGAAUUAAAAGAUUUAGUGAAAUGUUUAUCUUAACCAUCCUUAAAUAAAAUCAAUCAAAUACCUUCUAGUAUUUCUAGAAUGAAUAGUCUAAUUUUUGGUCAGUCUACGUUCUACUUCACCUGUUUGUGUUUGCAAAGACUAAAGAGUAAGAAAACACUUUCGGAAAUAUAUGUUUGGACAAACUGAUCA
rnacentral:lncRNA from 1 species